rnacentral:rRNA from 1 species
GACGAACGCUGGCGGCGUGCCUAAUACAUGCAAGUAGAACGCACAGUUUAUACCGUAGCUUGCUACACCAUAGACUGUGAGUUGCGAACGGGUGAGUAACGCGUAGGUAACCUGCCUGGUAGCGGGGGAUAACUAUUGGAAACGAUAGCUAAUACCUCAUAAUAUUAAUUAUUGCAUGAUAAUUAAUUGAAAGGUGCAAUUGCAUCACUACCUGAUCGACCUGCGUUGUAUUAGCUAGUAGGUGAGGUAACGGCUCACCUAGGCGACGAUACAUAUCCGAACUGAGAGGGGGAUCGGCCACACUGGGACUGAGACACGGCCCAGACUCCUACGGGAAGGAGCAGUAGGGAAACUUCGGCAAUGGAGGAAAGUCUGACCGAGCAAAGCCGCGUGAGUGAAGAAGGGUUUCGGAUCGGAAAGCUCGGUUGUAAGGGAAGAACGGGUGUGAGAGUGGAAAGUUCACGCUGUGACGGUAUCUUACCAGAAAGGGACGGCUAACUACGUG